rnacentral:rRNA from 1 species
GAGGGGUGCAAACGUUAUUCGGAAUCAUUGGGCGUAAAGGGUGCGUAGACGGCGUAUUAAGUCAACUGUUAAAUAUCUCGGCCUAACCGAGAGCCUGCGGUAGAUACAGGUAUGCUAGAGGGUGGAAGAGAGAAGUGGAAUUCUCGGAGUAGCGGUAAAAUGCGUAGAUCUCGAGAGGAACACCAAUGGCGAAGGCAGCUUCUUGGUCCAUCCCUGACGUUGAGGCACGAAAGCGUGGGGAGCAAACAGGGAUUAGAUACCCUGGUAGUCCACGCCCUAAACGAUGAUCACUAGAUGUUGGUUUUGUUUUACAGAAGCAGUAUCGUAGCUAACGCGCUAAGUGAUCCGCCUGGGACUACGAUCGCAAGAUUA